rnacentral:lncRNA from 1 species
CCCCAGGCCCUUAGCCCGGCACCCUAGUUGCCAGUGGGCAGUGCCUGCAGAGAACUGCAGAUGGAGUUCCUAAGCACUGGUGACCACUGGGGGAGGGUGGGGGCAGCAGAGCUGAGUGGCAGUGUCCCAAGAGUAAACUGUCCCCAGACCUCAGAGAUCCGCCUGCUGCCUGCCUCUAGCCCGAACUGAUAAACCUCCUCCCUUCCUUAUGACUAAUAAAACUAAUCAGAAGCAGGCAGCUGUCAUGUAGGGUCAGCCAGAAACUGCCUCCCUGGAGGUCCAGAUGGGGCUGGGGCCUGGAGUGACUCACCUGUUCCUCUUCUUCUCUGGGGUGGCCUGGCAGCUGACAAUGUGCUCCUGUCCAGCGAUGGGAGCCGUGCAGCCCUCUGUGACUUCGGCCAUGCUGUGUGCCUUCAACCCGAUGGCCUGGGGAAGUCCUUGCUCACGGGUAAGCCCUGCCUCCUGCCUCCCUCCCCCACGAUGACAGUCACCACUAGCCUUCACGAAGCAUUAGCCUUCUCCUGUGCUUUCUGUAAUAGCAGUCAGAGGUGUGAACCCUUUUUGUCCACAGUAUUUCAGCCCAUCAACAACCCUAGGUUAGCAGAAAGCUUUUGUUACGCUUAAAUGCAAGAAUGAGUAUCAGGUCCUCGUUUCUGAUAUUCCUGCUACACAGAGAAGGGAACGGAAAGGCUGGCCGCCUCUCAUCCAGCCUUUUCUGGGUGGCUCGGCUCCCAGCCUGUGGCCUCAGCCAUCCUGGGCCUCUGAGCAGUUUCUGGAAGCACAACACGAGGGCUGACCAAGAGGCCUGGGCUCUGUAGCUGGAGAAGCAUCUGUUUUUAACUUAAAUCUUCUGAUUAGUAAAGUAAUCCACAUCCAUUGUGACAUAUUUAGCAACUACAGAGUGAAGUGGUGUAGAAGAGGAGGGAAAAAGGAGCUACCCUGUUCCUCUUGCCCAGAGACAUAAUCACAAACAUUGUAGAUCACUCCUUCCAUCUCCUUUUUUUCUUCCUGUACCUCGUUAAGGCCAUUAUAACACAAUUCUGCUCUUUUUUCAUUUAUAGCGUUCUGCAUAAGGUUAUUUCCUCUUGACCAAAGGAAAAUCAACCUCUUAUUUAUUUAUUGAGAGAGAGAGAGAGAGAGAGCAGGGAAAGGGCAGAGGGAGAGAAUCCCAAGCAGGCUCCACAGUGUCAGCACAGAGCCCCAUGUGGGGCUCAAACCCACGAACUGCAAGAUCAUGACCUGAGCCGAAACCAUGAGUCAGACGCCCAACCGAGCCACCCCGGCACCCUAGGCAAAAACCUUUUAGAAGUGAUUCUCUGACAGGGCACCUGGGUGGCUCUCAGUUAAGUGCCAGACUUCGGCUCCGGUCAUGAUCUCAUGGUUUGUGGGUGCCAGCCCCGUGUCAGGCUGUGUGCUGACAGCUCAGCGCCUGGGGCCUGCUUCAGAUUCUGUGUCUCCCUCUCUCUCUCUGCCCCUCCUCUGCUCACCCUCUCUCUCUCAAAAAUAAAAAGCAUUAAAAAUUUUUUUAAGUGAUUCUCUAUCAUUAGAGGACUAUCUUGGUCAUUCUGAAGAUGUAUAUUGAAAACAGACACCUGCCUGUAUUAUGAAAAUAAUUUCUUUUCUAAAAUCUUUUGCAGAAAGUAGAACUAAGCUAAAAUAAAAAAUACAGAUCACCAGAGUGGGGGAAACAACUUCCUAUCUGGUAUCGAUCCUUCUAGUCUGCCUAGAAGUUUGUUUGGUUGUUUUUUUGUUUUUGUUUUUUUCACUUGCUAACAUUGCAGGAACAUCAUAACCAUUAAUUAGUCUCCUGCCACAUAAUUUCGAACGCCCAGGCCCCUCCCCAGUGUUAAAAAGCACUCUAAGAGUUUGGGCCAAUGGGUAGAGCCCAUAUUUUGGGUGAUGCCUUCUUUGUGCCAGUCUCCAGGGGAGCCCCUGACUUAGCUCAUCCCCGGCAGAUUUGAGCUGGAGGCUUUCUCUCUACUCGAGGCCCAUUAACAGAGACAAAUUCAAGGUAUCCCGGGAAUUGACUGGUGUGGUCACUGCCAAGGCUCUUGCCCCCCAGAGUUCACGGUUGGCUUUUCCGCCUCACCUCACCCCCCUCAGGGGACUACAUCCCUGGCACAGAGACCCACAUGGCUCCAGAGGUGGUGAUGGGCAAGCCCUGUGACGCCAAGGUGGACGUGUGGAGCAGCUGCUGUAUGAUGCUUCACAUGCUCAACGGCUGCCACCCUUGGACCCAGUACUUCAGAGGGCCACUGUGCCUCAAGGUCAGUGACAGCAUGCGGGAGGGCCAGGAGGCCCACGGGCCCGGGGCUGCAGACUUGGGGCGGUCCCCAUUUUGGCUGCUCUUCCGUGGCCGAUGGGAACAGGAAGAGGCCUCAUCGUAAACGUGGGAGCCUCACUAAAACACUUGCCACCCAGAUCGGUGGGCCCAAGGGGACAUCCCAGGUGAAGGAUCUCCUUAGGUUCAUGGCAGGUCAGCGCUGUCUUCCACUCGUACGCUGGGUGCUGGGAAGUGAGCGUUGCCUUCUGACCCACAGAUUGCCAGCGAGCCGCCGCCUGUGAGGGAGAUCCCACCGUCCUGUGCCCCUCUCACGGCCCAGGCCAUCCAGGAGGGGCUAAGGAAAGAGCCUGGGCACCGCGCGUCUGCAGUGGAGCUGUGGAGGAAGGUCAGCCUGGCCCUGCAGCAUGGUAAGAACCCCACACUGGCUGCAGGGGUGAGAGAGUCAACACGGCCCAUACCGACCCAGCACCAAAGAGAUUCUCGCUGGGACAUGCCGGAGGGCCCGCACUGCAGGGUCGUUUGCAGGAGAGGAGUAGGCUCAGUGGCGGGUCCCUUGCUGGGAGACUGGAAAGGCCAGAGGCAAGGGUGGUGGGCAGGGUGGGCCCCAUGGAGCACCACUCAGCAGUUAAAGCAACCCAGUGGCGCAGAGCAACCUGGCUGGAUUUUGAAACCGUGGUGCGCUGGGCAAAAAGGAGACGGACAGAGCGAGGCCUAGAACACAAUACCUUUUUUGUAAACGAGAUAUUGAAAAAUAAAAACAACACACAGUUUGCAAGAACACGAUCGAACCCAAAGUGACACAGCAAAUAGAGGGUCACGGGGCGGGGGGGGGUGGGCGGUGCAGGGGAGAGGCAGUGGUUAUGGGAAUGAAAGGGGAAUACAUAAAACAGGAGAGAGAUCCUGAAUGCCCCCCCCCCACAAAACAUAGAUGAACUGCCCCCCCCCCCCCCNNNNNNNNNNNNNNNNNNNNNNNNNNAGAUGGGGGCGGGGCGGGGCGGGUGGUCAAGGAGGCCAGCGUACAUGGGAACUCAAAGUUGGUGUUACCUCGGAGCUGUUUUUAAAUCUUUACCAUUUACAAAGUCCUUCUCUGGAGCCAAUUCUGGCAUUUUUAAAUUUGUGAUGGUUACCUAGAAGGAAAAUAGAAUAAAAGACAGAAAUACCAUCCUGCUCCCACUGUGGGAGGCCGUCUUACGGAAGAGGCCGCCUCCGAGACCUCAGCGUCCCCUAGUGGGGCAAGGGCCCUCCGUCACUGCUUGCCUCCAGCCCUCUGCUCGGGAAGGGCCACCUGGCCGGGCCUGUUUCCACCUCACCGCCUGUGCUCUGUUUUGUAGUGGGAGGUCUGAGGAGCCCUUGGAGAGGAGAGUAUAAAGAGCCAAGACAACCGCCGCCACACCAAGCCCAUCCGCCGCCCAGCCAAGGCCACUCUCCCCGGACGCCACAGGCCCAGCCGAGGGAGCUCUCACCUGGGGCUCCGGGGCCCCAGCCAACCGAGGACACGACAGGCGGGGCCCCUAAGCUCCAGCCUCCUCUACCCCCAGAACCCCCAGAGCGGAACAAGUCUCCAAGCCUGAACUGGGGCAAGGAGGAGUCUGGAACAUGGGAACCAUUACCUCUGUCCUCCCUGGACCCGGCCCCUGCCAAAAACCCCAGCUCGGUGGAGCGGAAGGCGACCUUCCCAGAACAGGAGCUGCAACAACUGGAAAUAGGUAUGGGCGGCCACGGCUGCGACCUCUGGGUCCCCGCGCACAGACCUGGGCCUCCCCCAAGGCCCGGGCUUCAUCCCCUGCGCAGCCAGCGUGCGCUUUCUUCUAGGCCCUUCCCUCAGAGGUCAGCUCCUGCGGUCCGUGCAGCCCCACACACAGCUGGGCCGGGCCACUCCCGGUCUUCCACAGCCAUCCUCUGCCUUCCUCUCCAGAACUGUUUCUGAACAGCCUGUCCCAGCCGUUUUCACUGGAGGAGCAGGAGCAGAUUCUCUCGUGCCUCAGCGUCGACAGCCUCUCUCUGUCAGACGACAGCGAGAAGGUAAGCCGGCCGGGGACCCAGGGCCGGGGCACGGAGCUUUGUGUCCAGCUGGUGAAGGGGCUGUGUGCAAGCAGCGGCGAAGGGAGGCUGGUGGGGGGGUCACCCCUUCCUUUUGGAAGGGCUCCCCACCGGGGCAGGGUGUCACGCUUGCUCAGGAUGAGCCAAUCCGUCUCCAACGCACCUGGGGAACUGGGGAACCGUUUGGCUACUCGCGAUUGUGGGGAUGGAGAUUUGGGCUUGGGGCCCCCUAGAAGUACUCUUCACCCCCCACUCCAGACCCCAGCUUAGCCCCAAAAGUGCCCAGUGGGGCCACGCUCCAGCCCGGGACACGAGCGGUUCCUCGCCCCCGAGCCCUUCCGCCCCAAGCCCCAUCAAGGCCACAGAUGGUUCCCCAAGCCCAGGGGCCCGAGUUGUGCCCCCUCUUGUUUCAGAACCCGUCAAAGGCCUCUCAGAGCUCGCGGGACACCCUGAGUUCCGGUGUGCACUCAUGGAGCAGCCAGGCAGAGGCUCGCAGCUCCAGCUGGAACAUGGUGCUGGCACGGGGACGGCCCACCGACACUCCAAGCUAUUUCAAUGGUACACCCCAAUACUUGCCUGCCCAGCUGCCCCCACAGCACCUGAUCGGCCUGCGACGAGGGAGUCCGAGGCAGUUUAUGUCCCCCUUCUCCUGGCGCAGCGGGGGAAGGGAGAGGAAGGCACCGGGCGCCCGGACUGGAGGAGCCUGGCCACGAAGUCGGUCUAGAGCAAAGGCCCUGAUUGCCCCAGAGCCUUCCCUGGUGGGGCAGUCAGUGAAGGACCUGGCCCCUCAUGGGUUGCCGAUGGAGUUCUAGAAGGCCCCUACUGUGGGGCACAGAGCGGUCUCUCCUGGCCUAGCGUCAAGAAGUAAAUAAUGCCUUCCAAGGGGAACAGGAGGAACGAGGCCUUAUGAGCAUUUAAAAAAAAUUUUUUUUAAUGUUUAUUUAUAAUUUUUGAGAGAGAGAGAGAGAGAGCACAGGUGGCAGGGGGGCAGAGAGAGAGAGGGAGACACAGAAUCCAAAGUAGGCUCCAGGCUCUGGGCUGUCGGCACAGAGCCCGACGUGGGGCUCGAACUCACGAACCGGGAGAUCAUGACCUGAGCCGAAGUCGGCCGCUUAACCGACUGAGCCACCCAGGUGCCCCGACCUCGUGAGCAUUUUGAUCGAGAACUCCGCAACAAGUUUGCUGGGAUCCUCCUCUGGGAUUUAAAGUCAUUAAGACGAGAAAGAAAACAUACAUGGACUUGUUUUCAAGGGUGGCUGCGUAGGCUAUGUCGUGAUUUUGAUAGAACGAGGAUUUCAUCAGCUCCCGCUCUUACCAGGGCCGGUGUGACACAUGGCAUCAAGCCCCCGUGGCCUGGCCGACGGCUGUCCCAACUGAGGGGACAUUACAGCCUAAGUUGCCCACAAUCUAAUUUAAGAGUCUCUGUUUCCACUUCCUUUUUGCUUUGUGUGCAGGUUGGAAUGCUAGUUCCCCAUAAGAGCCAACCUUAGCUCUUUGCAUUGUGCAGGCCAAAUUCUAGAUGUUGACAGAAAAUUACCAGGAAGAGCUAGCAGGCGUAGAACAUUAGGGCCACUCUAGCCUAAAUGUCACAUCGGCUUCCUCACAGCCAUCCUGCGUCCCUCUCCGUGGGGCUCCUUACAGAGAGCCAGCAGCCACUCUCCUGACGGUCACCUUGCCUGCCUUCUAGGUGUGAAAAUCCAAAUACAGUCUCUCAACGGCGAACACCUGCACAUCCGGGAGUUUCACCGGGUCAAGGUGGGGGACAUCGCAACAGGCAUCAGCAGUCAGGUAAGGGGACAGGUGCACACUUAAGAGGCAGAGUCCCAGAAGUCAGUGUACCUGGCCCAGCCCUCCAGGGGGAAGGCUUUUGAAUAAGUAGAAAUGGCACUGUAGGGAAUAGUUGACUUCGGUUAUCCCCCAAGGGCUCAGGGCAAGCCCCCCGGUGGUGACUGAGGGGUCCCCAGGACCUACCCUUGGGCUGGUUGAGAUUCUCCAGAAAGAAAGGCAAGAGUAUGCCUUCGGGACAACCCACCUGGCUGGAGAGAGACCUCCGCUUUGCACUUCUGGGCAGCCCCCAAACCCCAUGCUGCUGUCUCAGGCCUGCUGGUUUGCUCUGCCCCCAGAUCCCAGCCGCAGCCUUCAGCUUGGUGACCAAGGACGGGCGGCCCGUGCGCUAUGACAUGGAGGUGCCAGACUCGGGCAUCGACCUGCAGUGCACCCUGGCCCCUGAUGGCAGCUUUGCCUGGAGCUGGAGGGUCAAGCAUGGCCACCUGGAGAACAGGCCCUAACCCAGCCUUCCACCACUGGCUCCGCUCCACCGGAAGCGGCCUGCCUUCUUGGUGUCAGUGCCGCCCCCGACACACGGGCUCAGCCUGCUCCCGGGGACCUGCCAUCCUGUGGCUUCACUGGUGGGACUAGGGGUGAGCAGAAUGCCUCCCAGGAUCUGCUGUGUCCUGCCUGACCCUGCCAAGAGAACGCCCGGUGCCCACGUGAGGAGGAGGAAGGAGGCAGGAGGCCGCUCCCCAUGGGGAGCCAAAAGGGUCUUCUCUGCUCUGGUCCAAACAAGCUGGCCUGACCUGCUUAGAUCAGUGACCACUUGCUGGCAGUCAGGAUAGAGCAGCUUCCGGCCUGGGUCAGGGAGGGGUGGGCGAGCCCCUCGGCCUCCAAGCAGGUGUGAGGGUGUCGAGUGUCCCAGGACCCACACCCAGGUCCAAUGCAGGAGCGGGACGGCAGGCGUACCCACCCCCGGAUUAGCAGGGAGCCCUCUGACCCCCUUGCCUGGCCAUCGAACCCCCCUUUAGACCUAGCAGCUUUUCUGCCAGAGUCAGGGAGGGAGGAAGGCCGGACACUGGAAGUCUCCCAGGGAGAACUCGCUCGUCAUGUUGUUGCAGCAUAGGUCCUGAGCCGAACUCCGCUUCAGCCAAGGACCAGAGGUGUCUUAAGUGAAAUGGUUCUCAGUCCCCAAGCACAUGUCCCUUUGCCGCCGGCCACCAGUCUUCCCCAGAGCAGCAGGCUCUGAGUCCCAGCACUGCUCCCGGCUGGCUGGCACUCAGCCCCCUCAUCUGUCAAAGUGAAGGGCGACGGGAGCCCUACCCGGCAGGAGCCGUCUGGAGCUGGGGUGUGGCAGAUGUGUGAGAAAGCAGCAGCCGCAGGCACCCCCCCAUCCACCCCACCCCCCAUUCCUCCCGGCCACGGCUUGGAACAUCAUGCACACCAGCUUCCUGAGACACAGCCCCGGCAUCACACUCACACCAGCCCCGCCCUGCCCCUCGUCCAGGGACAACUUGCCAACUGCACUUUGCACUCUGAUGACCUCAAAGCACUUUCACGGCUGCCCUCCAGGAGGGCAGGUCAGUGGCUCUGCACGCGCUAAAGCAGGCCAGGAGAUGGGGUGAAGGGAUUCAAGUCUUGACCUGUCUUUACGCACACGACCCCUCAAACCUCCGUUUUUCUUUAAGAUGAGCCCCACCCCCCACCCCGUUGCCCCAGCCCUGUCUUUUCGUCAGUGGGGGUGCUGAUCAGGACUCAUGUAGCAUUAAUCAACUGUGAAUCAUUGUGUGGGGGCCUGCCAGCCUCCGCUUCUGGGGGUGAGGGGUGGCCCCUGAGAUCCCUCCUUGGGAGAAGCUCGUCCCCGUGUCUUGCCAAGGCGGCGUCUGUCCAGCUAUCCACAUCGAGCCAUUCUCCUCCCCAUGGAGGGACCCCCAGCCCCCAGGACAUGAAGAUCUCCAGCCUUGGUACUGCAGAGUUCAGGUUGUAGAGAACUCUUUGUAAGCAAUAAAGUUUGGGGUGACGAC